GAUGAACGCUGGCGGCGUGCCUAAUACAUGCAAGUCGAGCGAACAGACGAGGAGCUUGCUCCUCUGACGUUAGCGGCGGACGGGUGAGUAACACGUGGAUAACCUACCUAUAAGACUGGGAUAACUUCGGGAAACCGGAGCUAAUACCGGAUAAUAUAUUGAACCGCAUGGUUCAAUAGUGAAAGACGGUUUUGCUGUCACUUAUAGAUGGAUCCGCGCCGCAUUAUCUAGUUGGUAAGGUAACGGCUUACCAAGGCAACGAUGCGUAGCCGACCUGAGAGGGUGAUCAGCCACACUGGAACUGAGACACGGUCCAGACUCCGACGAGAGGCAGCAGUAGGGAAUCUUCCGCAAUGGGCGAAAGCUUGACGGAGCAACGCCGCGGGAGUGAUGAAGGUCUUCGGAUCGUAAAACUCUGUUAUUAGGGAAGAACAAAUGUGUAAGUAACUAUGCACGUCUUGACGGUACCUAAUCAGAAAGCCACGGCUAACUACGUG
rnacentral:rRNA from 1 species